GGGACAACAGUUGGAAACGACUGCUAAUACCGCAUAAGCCCACAGGUCGGCAUCGACCAGAGGGAAAAGGAGCAAUCCGCUUUGAGAUGGCCUCGCGUCCGAUUAGCUAGUUGGUGAGGUAAUGGCCCACCAAGGCGACGAUCGGUAGCCGGACUGAGAGGUUGAACGGCCACAUUGGGACUGAGACACGGCCCAGACUCCUACGGGAGGCAGCAGUGGGGAAUAUUGCACAAUGGGGGAAACCCUGAUGCAGCGACGCCGCGUGGAGGAAGAAGGUCUUCGGAUUGUAAACUCCUGUUGUUGAGGAAGAUAAUGACGGUACUCAACAAGGAAGUGACGGCUAACUACGUGCCAGCAGCCGCGGUAAAACGUAGGUCACAAGCGUUGUCCGGAAUUACUGGGUGUAAAGGGAGCGCAGGCGGGAAGACAAGUUGGAAGUGAAAUCUAUGGGCUCAACCCAUAAACUGCUUUCAAAACUGUUUUUCUUGAGUAGUGCAGAGGUAGGCGGAAUUCCCGGUGUAGCGGUGGAAUGCGUAGAUAUCGGGAGGAACACCAGUGGCGAAGGCGGCCUACUGGGCACCAACUGACGCUGAGGCUCGAAAGUGUGGGUAGCAAACAGGAUUAGAUACCCUGGUAGUCCACACCGUAAACG
rnacentral:rRNA from 1 species